UUUCCGGUUGAUCCUGCCGGACCCGACUGCUAUCAGAGUGAGAUUAAGCCAUGCGAGUUAACGUAGCAAUACGUGGCGCACGGCUCAGUAACACGUAGUCAACAUGCCCAGAGGACGUGGAUAACCUCGGGAAACUGAGUCUAAACCGCGAUAAGUGAGGAUAUCUGGAAUGGUUCCUGACUAAAAUCUAUAUGGCCUCUGGAUUGGACUGCGGCCGAUCAGGCUGUUGGUGAGGUAAUGGCCCACCAAACCUGUAACCGGUACGGGCUCUGAGAGGAGGAGCCCGGAGAUGGGCACUGAGACAAGGGCCCAGGCCCUAUGGGGCGCAGCAGGCGCGAAACCUCUGCAAUAGGCGAAAGCCUGACAGGGUUACUCCGAGUGACUUUCGCUAAGAAAGUCUUUUGGCACCUCUAAAAAGGGUGCAGAAUAAGGGGUGGGCAAGUCUGGUGUCAGCCGCCGCGGUAAUACCAGCACCCCGAGUGGUCGGGACGAUUAUUGGGCCUAAAGCAUCCGUAGCCGGUUCUGCAAGUCCCCCGUUAAAUCCAACCGCUUAACGGUUGACCUGCAGAGGAUACCGCGGGACUAGGAGGCGGGAGAGGC
rnacentral:rRNA from 1 species